rnacentral:rRNA from 1 species
GUAAACGNUGAGUGCUAGGUGUUAGGUCCUUUCCGGGANUUAGUGCCGACGCUAACGCAUUAAGCACUCCGCCUGGGGAGUACGACCGCAAGGUUGAAACUCAAAGGAANUGACGGGGGCCCGCACAAGCGGUGGAGCAUGUGGUUUAAUUNGAAGCAACGCGAAGAACCUUACCAGGUCUUGACAUCCCGAUGCCCGCUCUAGAGAUAGAGUUUUACUUUUUGUACAUCGGAGACAGGUGGUGCAUGGUUGUCGUCAGCUCGUGUCGUGAGAUGUUGGGUUAANNNNNNCAACGAGCGCAACCCUUAUUGUUAGUUGCCAUCAUUAAGUUGGGCACUCUAGCGAGACUGCCGGUAAUAAACCGGAGGAAGGUGGGGAUGACGUCAAAUCAUCAUGCCCCUUAUGACCUGGGCUACACACGUGCUACAAUGGUUGGUACAACGAGUCGCAAGCCGGUGACGGCAAGCUAAUCUCUGAAAGCCAAUCUCAGUUCGGAUUGUAGGCUGCAACUCGCCUACAUGAAGUCGGAAUCGCUAGUAAUCGCGGAUCAGCACGCCGCGGUGAAUACGUUCCCGGGCCUUG